rnacentral:misc_RNA from 1 species
AAGUCGUAACAAGGUUUCCGUAGGUGAACCUGCGGAAGGAUCAUUAUCAUAAAUGAUUUAUCUCAUAAACCAAUUAUUAUUUAAAUGUGAACUAUGUAAAGUAUUUAGUUUUAGGUGUUUUUAGGUAGUGUAGGUUGAUUCCUAUAUCUAUCCGAUCACUUGGAACUAAUUCUUUAAUCUUUAUUUUUAACCAAUUGAACCCUAAUAACUAAUUGUAGUUAUUCAUAUUACUUAUUAUUUAGUACUGAUAUAAUUUUCUAAAUUAUCUUCACGGAUAGUUUGAAAAUCAUUAUUUUACGAAAUAAUUCAUUAUGAACAACUCUUAGCAACGGAUAUCUUGGUUCUCGUAACGAUGAAGACGCAGC